rnacentral:rRNA from 1 species
UACGGAGGGUGCAAGCGUUGCUCGGAAUUAUUGGGCGUAAAGGGUAGGUAGGUGGUCUUAUUUGUCUGGGGUGAAAGCCUUGAGCUUAACUCAAGAAGUGCCCCAGAAACGGUGAGACUAGAGUCUUGGAGAGGGUCGUGGAAUUCCCGGUGUAGCGGUGAAAUGCGUAGAGAUCGGGAGGAACACCAGAGGCGAAGGCGGCGACCUGGACAAGUACUGACACUCAACUACGAAAGCGUGGGGAGCAAACAGG